rnacentral:sRNA from 1 species
CUUGGUCAUUUAGAGGAAGUAAAAGUCGUAACAAGGUUUCCGUAGGUGAACCUGCGGAAGGAUCAUUAGUGAAUUUAGCGCAUCUGCUUUGCAGAGCGUGACCUCCACUUCCUAACUCUGUGCACUUAAUGGCGGAAGAGAUGAAAUAUGCUCUUCUGCGGCUCAUUUUAUAACACUAGUUAAAGAAUGUAACGAAAUAUCGAAACAAAAAAAACUUUCAACAACGGAUCUCUUGGCUCUCGCAUCGAUGAAGAACGCAGCGAAAUGUGAUAAGUAAUGUGAAUUGCAGAAUUCAGUGAAUCAUCGAAUCUUUGAACGCACCUUGCGCUCCCUGGUAUUCCGGGGAGCAUGUCUGUUUGAGUGUCAUGAACUCUUCAACCCACCGGUUUCUUGUAAACUGGCUGGUGUUUGGUUUCUGAGUGUUGCUCGUCCUUGUGACUGAGCUCAUUCGUAAUAUAUGAGCAUCUCUAAUUCGAAUUCGGAUUGACUCAGUGUAAUAGACUAUUCGCUGAGGACACACCUAGUGUGGCCGAAUAAGAUAAUUGUAGAAGCUUCUAACCCUUCUAGUCAUUUUAAGAUUAGACCUCAGAUCAGAUAGGACUACCCGCUGAACUUAAGCAUAUCAAUAAGCGGAGGAAAAGAAACUAACAAGGAUUCCCCUAGUAACGGCGAGUGAAGCGGGAAGAGCUCAAAUUUGUAAUCUGGCACUUUCAGUGUCCGAGUUGUAAUCUCGAGAAGUGUUUUCCGCGCCGGACCGCAUACAAGUCUGUUGGAAUACAGCGUCAUAGUGGUGAGAACCCCGUAACUGAUGCGGAUGCCCGGUGCUUUGUGAUACACUUUCGAAGAGUCGAGUUGUUUGGGAAU